rnacentral:rRNA from 1 species
CCCUUAGACGUUCUGGGCCGCACGCGCGCUACACUGACCAGUGCAACAAGCAUCCGUCCUUGGCCGACAGGCUCGGGCAAUCUUUGAACGCUGGUCGUGAUGGGGAUAGACUUUUGCAAUUUUUGGUCUUCAACGAGGAAUUCCUAGUAAACGCAAGUCAUCAACUUGCAUUGAUUACGUCCCUGCCCUUUGUACACACCGCCCGUCGCACCUACCGAUUGAAUGGUCCGGUGAAGCCUCCGGAUUGGCGCGCACCUCGGUGCCGCCGAGAAGUUGGCUAAACCUUACCAUUUAGAGGAGGGUGAAGUCGUAACA